rnacentral:rRNA from 1 species
UGCGUAGGCGGCUUUUUAAGUCGGAUGUGAAAUCCCUGAGCUUAACUUAGGAAUUGCAUUCGAUACUGGAAGGCUAGAGUAUGGGAGAGGAUGGUAGAAUUCCAGGUGUAGCGGUGAAAUGCGUAGAGAUCUGGAGGAAUACCGAUGGCGAAGGCAGCCAUCUGGCCUAAUACUGACGCUGAGGUACGAAAGCGAUGGGGAGGACAAACA